rnacentral:rRNA from 1 species
AGCAGCCGCGGUAAUUCCAGCUCCAAUAGCGUAUAUUAAAGUUGUUGCAGUUAAAAAGCUCGUAGUUGAAUUUCGGGAUCAAUUUACUGGUCGUGCAAUAGUACGUACUGGUUUUAUUGGUUUCUACCUUCUGAUGAACCAUGAUGCCAUUAAUUUGGUGUCAUGGGGAAUCAGGACUGUUGCUUUGAAAAAUUAGAGUGUUUAAAGCAGGCUCACGCUUGAAUACAUUAGCAUGGAAUAAUGAAAUAGGACGUUUGAUUCUAUUUUGUUGGUUUCUAGGAUCGACGUAAUGAUUAAUAGGGAUAGUUGGGGGCAUUAGUAUUCAAUUGUCAGAGGUGAAAUUCUUGGAUUUAUUGAAGACUAACUACUGCGAAAGCAUUUGCCAAGGAUGUUUUCAUUAAUCAAGAACGAAAGUUAGGGGAUCGAAGACGAUCAGAUACCGUCGUAGUC